GACGAACGCUGGCGGCGUGCCUAACACAUGCAAGUCGAACGAGACGUUCGGGUCUUGUGGCGCAGGGCUGCGUGACGCGUGGGAACCUGCCCUUAGGUUCGGAAUAACUCCCCGAAAGGGGUGCUAAUACCGGAUAGUGUCUUCGGACCAAAGACUUAUCGCCUUUGGAUGGGCCCUGGUUGGAUUAGGUGGUUGGUAGGGUAAAAGCCUACCAAGGCGACGUUGCAUAGCUGGUCAGAGAGGAUGAUCCUGCACACUGGGACUGAGACACGGCCCAGAAUCCUACGCAAGGGAGCAGAGGGGAACAUAGGACAAUGGGCGAAGGCCUGACACAGCAAUGCCGGGUGAGUGAUGCAUGCCUUAGUGUUGUAAAGUUCUUUUACCCGGGAUGAUAAUGACAGUACCGGGAGAAUAAGCUCCGGCUAACUCCGUG
rnacentral:rRNA from 1 species